AAAAAGAAAAUAAAAUGACUUAGAUAUCCAGAAAAUAUGAAACAUUUUUUUUCUUUCGAAAACCGUUCCGAAACCGAUCAAAAUCCGACACCUAUCCAAACCGAAACCAAACGGAAUAGUAAAAAUCCAAAUUCAAAUAAAUCCAAACCGAAUCCGAACCAAAAUCCGAAUGUUUAGGCUUAUAUAGCGGUAAUGUCUUUUUAGCAUGGUCAAUGCAUUAUCAUAUUUCAAACUGGUAGUUAACGUUUAGUUCAUGUAUAAAAUGGUCAAAUGUGAAGUUGAUGUAUAAAAUGGCCACAAUUUGAAAGUUGGAGUAUUAAAUGACAAUUUUCCUGUUUCGAUUAUAGUAAAACGACGUCGUAUUGGAAACUAACAGAAACUAGUUAACGGCCGUUAUCGGUCUGUUAACGUCAGAUAACGUCGUGUGGAUUUUGGCCUGAUCAACGAUUAAGUUUGUGUGAAAUGGCCGGUCAACAAUUUUUACACUUAUUAAAUGGCUAUAUAAGAAGUUAACGUAUUAAAUCGCUACUUUUUGAAAGUUCGCGUAUUAAACAACAUUUUUCCCAAAAAAAAAAACCAACAACUAGCCUCAUAAAAUGAAAGUUUCUAAACCAAUGUUUCAUGUUGCUCCCCUAAGAGCCAGCCCUAAUAAUCGCGUGACAUACUUACUAGCUAGUGGCUUCGUUAAUAGGGUUUUAAAGUUUUUUUUUUUUGGGCAAAAGGUUUUAAAGUUUAAGGUAUUACUUAUAGUUAUAUAUGGCCAAAUCCAAUCACAUUAUUGUUGUAUCAUAGAUGCAUGAGGUCGACUAUAAUACUUU
rnacentral:sRNA from 1 species